UUUUUUUUUUUUUUUGGUCUUUUUGAGAGGGAGAGACAUACUAUUUCAUUAUUUAUUUAUCUUUUUAGGGCCACACUCACGCCAUAUGUAAGUUCCCAGGCUAGGGGUCAAAUCAAAGCUGGCAGCUGCCGGCCUACACCACACCUCAGAGCAACUCGGGAUCCUUAACUCACUGAGCGGGGCUAGGGAUCAAACCUGCACCCUCAUAGAUGUUAGCUGAGUUCUGAACCCACUGAACCACAAGGGGAAUUCCAAAAUGGAUAUACUCUGGAUUAUCUUCCCAGCAGCACUGGAGUCCUGUUAACACUGUAUGUAGCAAUAAUUUUGAAAUAUGGUUUAUAAUCAGGGCAUAAUGGCCUUUUAGUUGCACCAUCUUACCCCUGUCCAUAAAGAGAGCUUCCAGUCUCAUCUCACAAUGAAGAGGCUGAAAGAUUAGCCUUAUUGUGGAAAAUAUAACUGCAUCCCAUUAAAGGCGCACACUAAUGCCUCUGUUGGCAAUAACAGUGGGGCUGACACCUUUGCCGGGAGAAUGUAAUUCUCUUACGUAACUCAUUUGCACCACACUGCAGAUGGUAACAGCAAAAGUCUCUACACACAGCUUACAGAGCCUGGAAGAACCUCUUACAGUCCACUGGAGGGUGAGAGAGUGUGCAAAAGUUCCCUGACACACUCUGCACAGUGUGCUGCCCUAAAUCCCUAAAAUAAAGACCAAUGGAAAUAGCCUAGCAAUGCUCACUGUCUUCAAGACUAUUCCCAGAUCAAUAGUGAAGCUCUCUUUAGCCCAAGCCCUAGACUGCAAAUGUUAACCUCUUAUCAAGCUUAAUGCAAUCCAAUACAAAGUACCUACAUUUGCAGAGUUUCAAACAUUAGAAUUUUCAGAGACAAACAAGCUCAGGAGAGAUGUAUGCUAGUUCUAAAUUUGACAGUGGACAUUCAAGACACUAGAGCAGGAGUUCCCAUUGUGGCUCAGCGAUAAUGAACCUGACUAUGAUCCAUGAGGAUUCGGGUUCAAUCCCUGGCCUCGCUCAGUGGUUGGAUUCAUUUCCACUGAGCCAUGACGGGAACUCCACGUCCUUUGCAUUUAAAAUGAAUCAACUCCAGGAGUUCCCUGGUGAUCUAGUGGUUCAGUUGAAGCCUGAGUUCAAUCUCUGAUCUGGGAACUGAGAGCCCACAUCAAGCUGCUGCACACCAUGGCCAUAAAAACAAAAACAUUGUAAAAAAUAAAAUGAACCCACUCCAACCUAGUAGAUCCAUUUAGCUUGAUGCCUUCACAGUCCAGUCCUGCUUCAUAUAAUGCCAUUUGCUACAGGCUAUUUUGGUCUGUGCAUCCUUCCAGAGAGCUACCAUGAAAUAGAAAUAGAAGAAUUUUCUCCCACAAAAAGACCAUGACAUUUUCAUACAGACAGCACCCAGAGUGACCCAUGUCCCUGGGAGUUGCUAGCUCAAGGUGCAGACAACACAGAAGUAACAUUUUCUUUUACCAUGUAUCAAGCAUAAGCUUAUCUAAUAUGAUUAAAACACAGUAAAGAAAACACAGGAAGAGCAAUUCUGUAACAUAAUUUAAAUCAUAGUCUCAUUAUGAAAGAGAAAGCUGAUGAGAUGCUUUUUUGUGACAUCCUUUUGUAAUGAAGAUGUUAGAUGGUCUGGCAGUGCCUGUUGUCAUCAUUACAGGAAAUAGUAACUUCCACAUCUCGGUGGAUUCCAGGCCAUUCUAGUGUCCCCAUCCACAUCUUUAUUCUGUCUCAUUGCAAUAAGAACAAGUAGAUGUACACACACACACACGUGUAGCAUACAGAAUAGUUUUAGGUGAAGGGAAAUAAGAUGGGGAGACACUACAGAACCCAGAAGUGUCUGAUUCCAAACACACUCAGUCAUCUGACCAAUCCUUCCAAAGUUCCCUGGGACAACGCCUCCCGAUCUUUGGUAACUAGUGGAAGGAGGCUCAGCCACGUGCAGUAGCUUGCACACUGAGAACAAGUUCCCAUCAGACCCAUUAGACAUCAGCAGACCCCGAACUGGAUAGGCAGGUACUCCCGCCUGACCUUCCACCAGCCCUUUCUCCAAAAUGCCCCUGCACAGUGACCUGCAGCUGAUCCCAUCAAAUGCAUUAACACAGUUAUUUUCUCUACAGUCCUAUCAAGUCCUAAUAAUCCAAGUACUGGUAUUUGCUUCACAAUUCAGGUUCCUGACAUUGAAACCUAGAUUCAGAAAUAAAUAACUGCCCCAAUUCAGUUUAAACGUAAUAAUAGCCCAUCUUUAUUGAUCACUUGCUGUGUGCCAGGCACUGUUUUGCACUUAGUAGUUUACCUAAUACAAGAAAGCCAGUUUACAGAUGAGAACAGUUUACACGUUCUCAGUUUACAGAUGAGAACAGUUUACACGUUCUCAGGUGAGGUAAGGUGUUGGACCUCAGGCAAAGCUGGGGAGAUGUAGAAUGAAGGAAGUACAGUCUCUCCCUUCAAAGAGCUUACCACAGUGUACGGAAAUAAGGGGAGGGCCCUAACUCAUAAUUCAGAGUAAGUAAAAAACCACAAGAUACACCUUUAGGGGAGUUCAGAGGAAGAAGGAUUUAUUCGUCCUGGCAGGAUGCUGGAGGGCUUCUUGGAGGUGUCCAAGUAGAAGAUGAGGACAUAAAUAGAAAGAGCUUUCCAGACCGCUCAGUCACUCAGCUCCCAAAGCUACCAACUCUUCUCUUAGUUCCCUUGCUCCAUUUCACCUGGAACAGGCCUGCUUCCAAGAUAGGAUCAGCUCAGCCCAGCCCUCCUUUCCUCUGACACAUUCCUCCAGCUGCUGCUUGCCCUUCCAGGCCUACAGGCACAUAUGGGAACUUUUCACCAAGGCUCACUCUGGUGCUUUCAUGGGGGAGAAGCUGCAUCAUCGGUAAAAGGGACCCCUUUAAGGGAAUCCAGUCCUUCUGCACCGGAUUAUAUCAGACAGUCCCUAGCCUGCACCAAGCUAAGUCGUAAGGGACUCCCACCACCAGCAGCCAUCAGAAAGGUCAUCACUCCUCUCCAGGCUUCCGAGAGAGAUGAAUUUGCUCCUCCUCCCUCCUCUCAAACACAUUCCCUGGGUCAUCCCCCAACCUCUUCCUCAUCAGGGCUUAAGGCUCUGCAGCAAGGGCUCAAACCCUCACUCCUUUGUGACCUUGGGCAAGUAACUGAACCAACUCCAGCCCCAGCUUCCUUAUAAUAUGGGGUUUAUGAGAACAACUCGCUCUCAGAAUUGUUGUGAAUCAGAAUAAGGCAGUGCAAGGAAAGCACUGUACAAAGAGACUGGAACGAAAGAGCAACUAUCAACAUCAUCACAGGGAUGAUGUUGGUGGCAGUAUAAACUUGGGCUUGACUGGCGCUGAAAUACCCCCUCCACUCUCUUCCCCCACCGCCACCCACAAGCCUGCGGCCCGGCAGCACGGAGGAGACACAUGCGUCAUCCAGCUGUGGAGUGAAUGCAGGAUCUUCCGGCAGCGGGCUUUGGGACCUAGGCAGUGAUGCCUCAACCCACCUGGGCUGCUGCGGGGUGAAGGUUAUUUUCUGAUGGGGGACGUCCAAUAAGCAAAGACCCUUCCCUCCUUCGUACCCAUUCUCCAGGUGGAAACAGACAAGCGGCCAAAGAACGCAGCAGCUGCGCCAGCGGUAACGACCCCCCAGGGAGCCAGAAGAACGUCCCCUAGCCCCGGCUUCAGUUCCCCAACUCUCCUCCAGAUGCGGGAGAAGCUGCGCCGCACUUGGUGGCUGAGAUAACAGGUUGGCAAACCCGACCUGCGAAAAAAAUCUCCGCGCUUCCCCGCGCAAACCUAAGCCCCUCUUCCCUACUCAGGUGGGCAAACAACCUACAAUCUCUCAACAACUUUGUGUAUUUCACCAACUCAAGGCGCUUGGCCUCAACUUCCCCUCUAAGCCGGGUUUGCCGGAGAAAAGCGGGAAAUUGGGGAUGGGGGGAGGGAGUCUCCACAGGCCGCUCCCCUUUUCUGGGGGCGCCUUCCGGAGGCGCGUCCCGUCUUACCUUGUCUGACGGCUUUGAAGGUGACCGCCUCCUUGCAGCUGUCGAUGACUCCCAGUACGUCAUAGCGGGGCAAGCCGGACACCCGGAUCCCCUGGACCUCCAGAAGCAGCUCCCCUUCGCCCAGCCGCGGGCCCUCGCCGCCGCCAGGAAGCCCCGACGCCUCGGCCGCCGCCACCGCUCCGACAUAAGGAAACUCUCCAUUCUCCGCGCCCCCCAGCACGGUCACCCCCAGCUCGCCCUGGGGUCCCCGCUUCACGGUGCAUUCGUGAACCUUGCUAGUCCAGUGAUUCUUCUUCUGGAUCACUUUUGACAUGAUGAGUUACACCCCUCUUCCCCCCCACAAAAAAAAUAAUAAGUGAGAGACAGGUGUCCCUCCGCAGCACAAGCCCCCCCCACCAGGCCCUCGCUGGUUCAUGGGAGAGACAUCUCCCCCCAAAAAACGCAACGGGAGAGAGAAACUUGGCAGCCUCGCUCGCCGCACACACUCGCGCACUCAAGCCAUCAUAAAACAAACUUUCUGGGCUUCCCCGCGAGCCCU
rnacentral:lncRNA from 1 species